rnacentral:miRNA from 1 species
GCGAUUACCGAUUUAUCGGCAAAUACUGCGAUAAAAUUUAAAUUUCGUUCCUUUUAUGCAAUGAAACUAACGAAAAAUGUAUUAUUUCCCUUUGCUACAAAUUAUCAUAUUUAAAAAAAGAAAAAAACUAAGUUUUAUCGCGGUAUUUGCCGAUAAAUCGGUAAUCGC